rnacentral:sRNA from 1 species
ACUUUCCUGGGCAGAGAAUGUCUGUGUCAGGCAAGAAUUAGAGACAAGCGGUCAGCAGAGCCUCAGUGCUGAUCGUCGGAGCUUGGGACCAGGAAGAUGUCGAAUGAACUUGAUUUCAGGUCUGUGCGGCUUCUAAAGAACGAUCCAGUCAACUUGCAGAAAUUCUCUUACACUAGUGAGGAUGAGGCCUGGAAGACGUACCUAGAAAACCCGUUGACAGCUGCCACAAAGGCCAUGAUGAGAGUCAAUGGAGAUGAUGACAGUGUUGCGGCCUUGAGCUUCCUCUAUGAUUACUACAUGGUACUACCAUGGCAUGGAAUAUGAGACGGACCUCACCCCCCUUGAAAGCCCCACACACUUCAUGAAAUUCCUGACAGACAACGUAUCUGGAACCCCAGAGUACCCAGAUUUGCUCAAGAAGAAUAACCUGAUGAGCUUGGAGGGGGCCUUGCCCACCCCUGGCAAGGCAGCUCCCCUCCCUGCAGGCCCCAGCAAGCUGGAGGCCAGCUCUGUGGACAGCUACCUGUUGCCCACCAGUGAUGUGUAUGAUAAUGGCUCCCU